AUUGAACGCUGGCGGCAUGCUUUACACAUGCAAGUCGAACGGUAACAGGCCGCAAGGUGCUGACGAGUGGCGAACGGGUGAGUAAUGCAUCGGAACGUGCCCAGUCGUGGGGGAUAACUACUCGAAAGAGUAGCUAAUACCGCAUACGAUCUAUGGAUGAAAGCGGGGGACCGUAAGGCCUCGCUCGAUUGGAGCGGCCGAUGUCAGAUUAGGUAGUUGGUGGGGUAAAGGCUCACCAAGCCAACGAUCUGUAGCUGGUCUGAGAGGACGACCAGCCACACUGGGACUGAGACACGGCCCAGACUCCUACGGGAGGCAGCAGUGGGGAAUUUUGGACAAUGGGCGCAAGCCUGAUCCAGCAAUGCCGCGUGCAGGAAGAAGGCCUUCAGGUUGUAAACUGCUUUUGUACGGAACGAAACGGCUCUGGUUAAUACCCGGGGCUAAUGACGGUACCGUAAGAAUAAGCACCGGCUAACUACGUG
rnacentral:rRNA from 1 species